rnacentral:rRNA from 1 species
AAAUAGACUGCCCGUGAUAAGCGGAGGAAGGUGGGGAUGACGUCAAGUCAGUAUGGCCUUUAUGCCCUGGGCUGCACACGUGCUACAAUGGUCGGUACAGAGGGAAGCCAAACCGCGAGGUGGAGCAAAUCCCAUAAAACCGGCCCAGUUCAGAUUGAAGGCUGCAACUCGCCUUCAUGAAGUUGGAUUCGCUAGUAAUGGCGCAUCAGCUACGGCGCCGUGAAUACGUUCCCGGGCCUU